rnacentral:rRNA from 1 species
GACGAACGCUGGCGGCGUGCUUAACACAUGCAAGUCGAACGAAGUGGCGAACGGGUGAGUAACGCGUAAUCAACCUGCCCUUCAGAGGGGGAUAACAGUUGGAACCGACUGCUAAUACCGCAUACUGAAGGAGGGGAUUGCGUCGGAUUAGCUAGUUGGAGGGGUAACGGCCAACCAAGGCGAUGAUCAGUAGCCGGUCUGGGAGGAGGAACGGCCACAUUGGGACUGGGACAAGGCCCAGACCCCUACGGGAGGGAGCAGGGGGGAAUCUUCCGCAAUGGACGAAAGUCUGACGGAGCAACGGCGCGUGGGUGAUGACGGCCGUCGGGUUGGAAAGCUCUGUUAAUCGGGACGCGGUACCGGAAUAGAAAGUCACGGCUAACUACGUGCCAGCAGCCGCGGUAAUAC